rnacentral:rRNA from 1 species
UACGUAGGUGACAAGCGUUGUCCGGAUUUACUGGGCGUAAAGAGCGCGCAGGCGGUCGUUCAAGUCGAGUGUGAAAGCCCCCGGCUCAACUGGGGAGGGUCACUCGAUACUGAUCGACUCGAAGGCAGGAGAGGGUAGUGGAAUUCCCGGUGUAGUGGUGAAAUGCAUAGAUAUCGGGAGGAACACCAGUGGCGAAGGCGACUACCUGGCCUGUUCUUGACGCUGAGGCGCGAAAGCUAGGGGAGCAAACGGG